UACGUAGGCAGCGAGCGUUGUUCGGAUUUACUGGGCGUAAAGAGCGUGUAGGCGGCCCGAUAAGUCCGCUGUGAAAGUCCAGGGCUCAACCCUGGGAUGCCGGUGGAUACUGUCGGGCUCGAGUCCGGAAGAGGAGUGUGGAAUUCCUGGUGUAGCGGUGAAAUGCGCAGAUAUCAGGAGGAACACCAAUGGCGAAGGCAGCACUCUGGGACGUGACUGACGCUGAGACGCGAAAGCGUGGGGAGCAAACAGG
rnacentral:rRNA from 1 species